AAUUCUCAACCCUUCUGGCUUUGUUGUCUGGAUUGGGAUUGGACUUGGAGGUUUGCUGGCCAUUUGGGGUCGGCUCCUCUCUAAAUGCAUUAGCUGGACCUCGUUGUGGACCCUUGCUCGGUGUGAUAAUUGUCUACGCCGUCGUGGUGAAGCUGUGUGAGGGUUGGCUUCCAACCGUCUUCGGACAAUGUUUGACA
rnacentral:misc_RNA from 1 species